rnacentral:rRNA from 1 species
AAUUUUGGACAAUGGGGGAAACCCUGAUCCAGCCAUCCCGCGUGUAUGAUGAAGGCCNNNGGGUUNUCAAGUACGUUUGGCAGNGACNAAAAGGUAUCCCCUAAUCCGGGAUACUGCUGACUGUAUCUGCAGAAUAAGCACCGGCUAACUACGUGCCAGCAGCCGCGGUAACACGUAGGGAGCAAGCGUUAAUCGGAAUUACCGGGCGUAAAUCGUGUGUAGGCGGUUCGGAAAGAAAGAUGUGAAAUCCCAGGGCUCAGCCUUGGAACUGCAUUUUUAACUGCCGAGCUAGAGUAUGUCAGAGGGGGGUAGAAUUCCUCGUGUAGCAGUGAAAUGCGUAGAUAUGUGGAGGAAUACCGAUGGCGAAGGCAGCCCCCUGGGAUAAUACUGACGCUCAGACACGAAAGCGUGGGGAGCAAACAGG